UGUCAUCACUGAAACGACAGCCACCACUCACGAAGCACCAGAAUGCGCCGGGCUCCGGGCUGGGCAGUCUGUGCAGAUCCUUGUCUACUGAGCACACCAUUACAGCUCACCUGACACCCGGAGGCAGGAACUGACGCCUCAGACUUUCAAGCCACAAGGUCACCUACUUUCAAAACGGAGCAUCAUAAAAACCUCACAAGGAAAAGCAGAGACUGGUGAGAUACCCCUCAUGCUGAUCACAGCUCGAAGUCAGAGCCGGCUGUCACCACCUGAGAAACCGGUCCCCAGAUUUGGGAAAGCUGGAACAUGGGAGAAAGAGGAGCUGAAAACAAUUCCAAAGUCUUUGCCUGGAGUGCCUGGAAGGCCAGAGUGGCCGUUGGCUGAGAUGGGAAGACUGGGUGAGUUGUAAGCUGGUGGGGUGUGAGUUUCAUUUGGCUGCACGGGGCUGAAGAGCCCCCAGAUCGGGCGGGGAGAUGGAGGAGUUUAUUUGCCGUCUAGGACUUGCCCACGUCUGUUCUCCACUCCAUUUCCUGGGGGCGGGGGGUGGUGGUCUUAGCCCUCUGUUUUCAGGCCUGGGUGUCCC